rnacentral:lncRNA from 1 species
GCUAAACGCUGGCUUUCUUUCGCUCAUUACAGCUUCUUCCCUUCAGCCGAUCAGACCUCUACCUCCCCAUGUGUGGGGAGAGCUUUCACUGUGACUGCUUUCCGGUGCCUGCUGUUCCCACCUAGAUGGUUCCACUGUGCCUGCAGUUUGGAGGUGCAGAGCUGAGAAAAGGAAAGAGAAAUGAAGAACGGCAACUCGGAGGGAGGAGACGGUGGGGGUGGCGCGGGCACCGGGUGCAGGCUGAGAAAGCGAGAGGGCGGUCCGGCCAGGGGGUGGGGGUGCUGCAACCAGCUCUGGUCACGCCCCUUCUCCUGAGAGCUCCCAGGACUGCAGGCAACUUGCUGAAGAACUUGGGUAAUUUCCCGGAGGCCGGCUCACCUGUUUCCAGCCCAUCAGUGAUCUUGAAACUUACAAAUACUCAGACUCACACUUUCCGCCUAUCCGUGCAAGGUAAGAGGAGCCAAACACAUCUCGAAAUGCACCGAUUUUUCUUCUUCUAAGGGGGCAGACUCUCGUGGUGUGCCCCCACCCUCUCUGUUAAUGCCUCUAUUGUGUAAAAACGUCUUUAGAUAAAUUUGUCGGGCUUGGAGCCUGGGGUGGCCAUUUCUUUGCACUUUAUCUACUACAAUCCAAGACCAGCAAACAUGAGGCCACGUUUUUCCAGUGGUUUCUGCCUCCCCCACCACAGUGGUGACGGAAAUACGCUCCCCAGCAACAGUGAGAAGACCCUGGGAUUCUGCAGGCUCAGAGAUCAUCUGUACCCUCCCGCCGUGUAACUGCAAGACGACAAAUGAGAUGCAAACAGGGAAGUCUUUCUUACGUUUGUGCCAAAUGAUACAAUCACCAAUAAUGAAAUAAGGCACCUGUGAAAACUGCACCCAGAAACGGUCGAUCAGUAUGGACAUGAGGUUGUUAAGAAUGCGUUUCCUUAGCAUCGAAGAGGGGGUAACUGGCUGCUCUCUGAUCAUCUGUCUCUUCUUCCCUGUGUGCAGGGAGCUAUGAAGGAGCCCACUUAGGAAGCCAGGAUUUAAGGUGACAGGAGCAUAUUGCAGGUGGGGCUCCACCUGCCGGGCAGUGACGGCUGGGGGUCACCCCGAAAUCUCUGCACUCAGGGCUGUCAG